rnacentral:rRNA from 1 species
UGGGGAAUAUUGCACAAUGGAGGGAACUCUGAUGCAGCGACGCCGCGUGAGUGAUGAAGGAAUUCGUUUCGUAAAACUCUGUUCUAUGGGAAGAAAAGGACUGUACCAUAGGAGAAAGCUCCGGCUAAAUACGUGCCAGCAGCCGCGGUAAUACGUAUGGAGCGAGCGUUGUCCGGAAUUAUUGGGCGUAAAGGGUGCGCAGGCGGCUUUACAAGUUGGAUGUGAAAUAUUGUGGCUCAACCACAAACGUGCAUCCAAAACUGCAAAGCUUGAGUUAAGGAGAGGUAAGUGGAAUUCCUGGUGUGGCGGUGGAAUGCGUAGAUAUCAGGAGGAAUACCGGUGGCGAAGGCGACUUACUGGACUUAAACUGACGCUCAGGCACGAAAGCGUGGGGAGCAAACAGG